rnacentral:tRNA from 1 species
CCGGGAUAGCUCAGUUGGUAGAGC